GAUGAACGCUGGCGGCGUGCCUAAUACAUGCAAGUCGAGCGAACAGACGAGGAGCUUGCUCCUCUGACGUUAUCGGCGGACGGGUGAGUAACACGUGGAUAACCUACCUAUAAGACUGGGAUAACUUCGGGAAACCGGAGCUAAUACCGGAUAAUAUAUUGAACCGCAUGGUUCAAUAGUGAAAGACGGUUUUGCUGUCACUUAUAGAUGGAUCCGCGCCGCAUUAGCUAGUUGGUAAGGUAACUGCUUACCAAGGCAACGAUGCGUAGCCGACCUGAGAGGAUGAGCAGCCAGACUGGGACGGAGACACGGCCCGGACUCCUACGGGAGGCAGCAGUGGGGAAUAUUUGACAAUGGGCGAAAGCCUGAUCCAGCAAUGCCGCGUGAGUGAUGAAGGCCUUAGGGUUGUAAAGCUCUUUUACCCGGGAUGAUAAUGACAGUACCGGGAGAAUAAGCUCCGGCUAACUCCGUG
rnacentral:rRNA from 1 species